GAAGCUAUAGUCAAUAUAUGAUAUGACAUAUAAUUUGCAUUUAUAAAGAGUUAAAACUAGUUUCG
rnacentral:tRNA from 1 species